GACGGGGGGGGCAAGUGUUCUUCGGAAUGACUGGGCGUAAAGGGCGCGUAGGCGGUGUGUCAAGUCAGGCGUGAAAGCCCCGGGCUCAACCUGGGAACAGCGCUUGAGACUGGCACGCUCGAGUUCGGGAGAGGAGAGUGGAAUUCCCAGUGUAGAGGUGAAAUUCGUAGAUAUCUGGAGGAACACCGGUGGCGAAGGCGGCAUCCUGGACCAACACUGACGCGUGAGGAGCGAAAGCGUGGGGAGCGAACAGGA
rnacentral:rRNA from 1 species